AUUGAACGCUGGCGGCAUGCCUUACACAUGCAAGUCGAACGGUAACGGGCCUUCGGGUGCCGACGAGUGGCGAACGGGGUGAGUAAUGUAUCGGAACGUACCUUUCAGUGGGGGAUAACGUAGCGAAAGUUACGCUAAUACCGCAUAUUCUGUGAGCAGGAAAGCAGGGGGAUCGCAAGACCUUGCGCUGAUUGAGCGGCCGAUAUCAGAUUAGCUAGUUGGUGAGGUAAGGCUCACCAAGGCGACGAUCUGUAGCGGGUCUGAGAGGAUGAUCUGCCACACUGGAACUGAGACACGGUCCAGACUCCUACGGGAGGC
rnacentral:rRNA from 1 species